UAAGGAAUAUUGGACAAUGGACGCAAGUCUGAUCCAGCCAUGCCGCGUGAAGGAUGAAUGCCCUCUGGGUUGUAAACUUCUUUUAUAGGGGAAGAAAGAUACUUUUUUUAAGGUAGUUGACGGUACCCUAUGAAUAAGCACCGGCUAACUCCGUGCCAGCAGCCGCGGUAAUACGGAGGGUGCAAGCGUUAUCCGGAUUUACUGGGUUUAAAGGGUGCGUAGGCGGGCAUGUAAGUCAGUGGUGAAAUACCGGAGCUUAACUUCGGAACUGCCAUUGAUACUAUAUGUCUUGAAUAUUGUGGAGGUAAGCGGAAUAUGUCAUGUAGCGGUGAAAUGCAUAGAUAUGACAUAGAACACCGAUUGCGGAGGCAGCUUGCUACGCAAAUAUUGACGCUGAGGCACGAAAGCGUGGGGAUCAAGCA
rnacentral:rRNA from 1 species